rnacentral:rRNA from 1 species
AUGGCCGCCGAGGCACUCCCGCGGGCCGCCGCGUCGGCGCGCCGGCCGUCCGUGGCCGCCGCUUCCGCCUCGCGCCUCCUCCUCGGCCACCGCCCCUUCCUCGCGCCGUCCGCGUCCCGCUUCGCCGCCGGGCGCGCCGCGGUGGCCGGCCCGGCCGCCAGCCUCCGCCCGCGCCCGCGCAGGCCGCGCCUCUCGGUCGUCGCCAUGGCCGGCAAUGAUCGCCAAGUUCCUUUGGAGGAUUACCGCAAUAUUGGUAUUAUGGCUCAUAUAGAUGCUGGGAAAACAACAACUACAGAGCGCAUUCUCUAUUACACUGGAAGGAACUACAAAAUUGGUGAGGUUCAUGAGGGAACAGCCACAAUGGAUUGGAUGGAGCAAGAACAGGAGAGAGGAAUAACCAUUACAUCUGCAGCAACAACUGCCGUCUGGGACAAACAUAGAAUCAACAUUAUUGACACUCCUGGGCACGUCGAUUUCACUCUUGAGGUUGAACGUGCUCUCAGGGUGUUGGAUGGUGCUAUAUGUCUCUUUGACAGUGUUGCUGGGGUAGAGCCACAAUCUGAAACUGUGUGGCGCCAAGCAGAUAAGUACGGAGUUCCAAGAAUAUGUUUUGUAAACAAAAUGGAUCGCCUUGGAGCUAACUUCUUUAGAACUAGGGACAUGAUAGUGGCAAAUUUGGGUGCAAAACCUUUGGUGAUACAGUUGCCGAUUGGUUCAGAGGACAAUUUCCAAGGAGUUGUUGAUCUAAUAAGAAUGAAGGCUAUUGUAUGGACAGGGGAGGAACUCGGUGCACAAUUUUCAUACCAAGACAUACCUGCUGAUCUCGAAGAGUUGGCUCAAGACUAUAGACUUCAGAUGAUCGAAACUAUUGUUGAAUUGGAUGAUGAAGCUAUGGAGGGCUAUCUAGAAGGAAAGGAACCAGAUGAGGCAACUGUGAAGAGAUUAAUCAGGAAAGGAACAAUAGGUGCCAGCUUUGUCCCCAUUUUAUGUGGUUCAGCCUUCAAAAACAAGGGUGUCCAGCCAUUGCUUGAUGCUGUUGUUGAUUACUUGCCAUCACCACUUGACCUGCCACCAAUGAAGGGUACUGACCCAGAUGACCCGGAAUUGAUUCUUGAAAGACGUCCUAGUGAUGAUGAACCAUUUUCUGGGUUAGCUUUCAAGAUCAUGACUGAUCCAUAUGUGGGGUCACUAACGUUUGUCCGCAUAUACUCAGGGAAGCUGAUCGCUGGCUCAUACGUUCUCAAUUCAAACAAAGAUAAGAAGGAAAGAAUUGGAAGGCUUCUAGAGAUGCAUGCAAACAGUAAGGAGGAUAUAACAGUUGCAGUGACAGGCGAUAUAGUAGCUCUUGCUGGUCUGAAAGAUACAAUUACCGGUGAGACACUCUGUGACCCAGAUAACCUUGUAGUGCUUGAACGUAUGGAAUUUCCUGAUCCUGUCAUUAAGGUUGCUAUUGAACCAAAGACCAAAGCUGAUGCUGAUAAAAUGGCAAAUGGAUUAAUAAAGCUUGCUCAGGAAGAUCCAUCAUUCCACUUCUCUAGAGAUGAGGAAACCAACCAGACAGUUAUUGAAGGAAUGGGCGAAUUACACCUUGACAUCAUUGUAGACAGAUUAAAGAGAGAAUUCAAGGUUGAGGCAAAUGUUGGAGCUCCACAGGUCAACUACCGUGAAAGUAUUUCCAAAAUUGCAGAGAUUCAGUAUGUCCACAAAAAGCAGUCUGGUGGUUCAGGGCAGUUUGCAGAUAUUAUUGUGCGGUUUGAACCUAUGGAGGCUGGAAGUGGGUAUGAAUUCAAGAGUGAAAUUAAGGGAGGGGCAGUGCCAAAAGAAUACGUACCCGGUGUGAUGAAGGGAAUUGAAGAAAGCUUACCUAACGGUGUCCUUGCUGGUUACCCAGUUGUGGAUUUACGAGCAGUGCUGGUUGAUGGCUCCUACCACGAUGUUGAUUCAAGUGUCCUUGCAUUCCAAAUUGCAGCCAGGGGGGCCUUCCGGGAAGGAUUGAGGAAAGCUGGCCCACGACUCCUGGAGCCUAUAAUGAAGGUUGAAGUGAUUACCCCUGAGGAGCAUUUGGGUGAUGUUAUUGGUGAUUUGAACUCUAGAAGAGGGCAAGUUAACAGCUUCGGAGAUAAGCCAGGUGGACUGAAGGUGGUUGAUGCUUUCGUGCCACUUGCCGAGAUGUUCCAGUAUGUCAGCACUCUGAGGGGAAUGUCCAAGGGGCGCGCGUCGUACACAAUGCAGCUUGCCAAGUUCGACGUUGUCCCACAGCAUAUCCAGAACCAGCUUUCUGCGGCAAAAGAGGAAGCUGCUGCUUAA